UGAAGCUCAUCCUUGUUUACACAAGGGAUUCACCCAAGUGGAGGGCCUUCAAGUCACCUCCUAGCUACUUGGAUCUUCCUUGUGAUUUUCUUCCUUUUGAUGCUCCUUUGCUCCUUGAGGAUGUGAGGAAAGGAUCUCCAAAACACCAAAGAUUUGGUGUCUCUAAGUCUCCACUCCAAGGAUGAGGUGUGAAGAUGAAAUGGAUGACUUAGAGAAGAAAAGAUUGCUAGCUAUAUCUUCCCUAUGUGGCCGGCCUCCUUGUAGAGAAAAAGAGAGAACAUGUUUCU
rnacentral:lncRNA from 1 species